ACUGGGCAAGCUCAGUUGGUAGAACAUGAGACUCUUAAUCAUCAAGGGUUGUGGGUUUAAGCCCCACUCUCAGUG